UGGUGCAUGCCUGUCAUCCCAGCACCCUGGGAGGCUGAGGCAGGAGGGUCAGAAGUUUGAGCUCAGCUUGGGCAAUUUAGUCAAUUUUGUGUCUGGAAAUAAAAAAUAAUAAUAAUAGCAAGGGCCGAGGAGGCAGCUUAGCCUGGCUUCCUACCGCACUGCCAGGGGGAAAUAAGAGUGCUGGCCUCAGACCCCUUCCCCUCUGCACUGGGGCUCCCCUUGUGUGGGUGCCUGUGGCUGGUGAGUGGGACCUCCCAGCAAGGAACCCCCAAGAGCUGGGUGCAGAUGGGGACCCGAGGCUGGUGACUCCUUUGCACAGCACAGCGGGUCUAGGCCCAGGCCCACGAGACUGAGCUGACUGGACAAGGACCCCCUCUGUUCAGAAAAACAUCCCCACACGUGGCUUUGGGUCAUGCCCAGGGCUUCCAGGACCAUCUGAGACUCCUCCUGCUGCUUCUGAGCCCUGUCCACUUUUGGGUCAGUGGCCAAGAGUUGCUGCAGUGGAGACUGCUCUGAGAUCUCUGAGGUGUCUCAUCCGGUUCCGUCCAAGCACAGAGGGCUUGGGUCACUCACCGAAGGUCAUACAGCUGGGAAGGAACUAAGCCAAGAUCCAAGCCCAGCCAAUCUGGCCAGGUCUACACCCCUAACCUUAGGCAGGCUCCAGUCCUUGAUGGGGGUCCAGGGCGCUGAGCUGAUGUUAAGUGAUGGAGGACAGACUCCUAGACAGUGAUUCUGGCCUUCUCCCCCUUUCACCCUCCUUCCUACUCCCUGCGCCCUCCUUCCCUCUGCAGCCCUCUCUCUGGUGACAGCUGCCCUCUCUGGUGACAGCUGCCCGCUCUGGCCCUGUCCAUCACCUUGCAUCCUCUGGGGUUUCCCAUAGGCGGGCAGGGAGGGCCGAGCAGGCUGGGUCUCGGCAUCCAUGGAGUUAAGACCCUAAUACCAUUUUCCCGCAGCAGCUUUGCGUGGUUUAGUGGAAUUGAGGGUAAAUCUAACUUGCAAAUUUCCUCUUUUGAUCUCCACCCUCAGCAGAGCUGACUGGAGAUUGCUCCAGCCAGCUGCUCCAGAGGCUCCCUAGGCUCCAGAGUCCUGGGUGCCGCAAGCAUGACCACUGCAGGCCAAACCUGGUCACCAGCCUGGACUCCGCAGUGCGGCAGCGGGCAGCUGGCACUUGCUCUUUCGUGCUCCCCGUGCCCCAGGUCCUUUGUGUGUCCUUUGCCACCAGCCCUGUCGCCUCCUCCGACUUGAUGUCACCACCCCAGCUGAACCCAUCCUUGCCCUCGGACUCACCACAGUCAGAGCUGGUCAGUGGCCAUGUCCCAGGGCACAGACAGCCUCUGCUGGCACCUGUGGGCAUCUGCCUCUUGCACAGUGCCUCAGUUUCCCUGUCUGGAAGAGCAGGGUGGGCCGCCUGCCCACGCCUCCCACGUGAUGGUCUCCUGUACUCCCUGUGGGCUUCUGGCCCGGCUCACUCAUUUCACGGUAUUUGACUUCCUUGAUUAUCUGAUUUUCCAGGGAGGAAUUUUCAACACUGGGCUGAGCUGGCGUCUGCUGGCUACCUGGGCACCCGUCCCAUGCCACUGGCCUGGCUGUACCUGGAGCCGUGAGGGAGGCCCAUGCAGACGGCCCCUCACUGUAUCGAGGCGACUGGCCAUGGGGUGACGGUAGGGUGGCAGUGCUGCAGUCCUGGAUGGACCAGGGCUGGGACCCUCGGUGGAAGCAGACACUGGGUUCAAAUUCUGGCUCCGUCACUUCCAGGAUACUUGACCCCCUCAGCUCUGUGCCUUAGGGCCUUGGCCAGCGUGGGAUGCUUAACAGCCAGAUAGAACCCCAGAAAGUCCCCACCCACUUUUUUGACACCUGUCAUCAGCUGGCUGUGUGACCUGGGAUAGGCUGCUUGCCCCUGCUGGGCUCCAGGCCACUCACCGGAGAGGAUGUCCUAAAUAUGAAGUGACAGGGACCUGGGGGAUAUGAGGCUGUGUGAUGGCCAAGGGACAUGGCUGUUACCCUGUGAUCACUGUGGCCUUUGCUCCAGAAGGGGAAACACCUCCCUGCACCGUAAGUCUACACAGCACUGUGGGAGGACAGCACGAGCAGCAGGGAGCGCCCACUUACAAGCCUUCAGCAUCCAGGGAAGCAGAGGCCUAGGGGGCAAGCACGCGGGUCACCCAGCAGGAUAGGCUGCACGAUGUGUGUGAGUGCUGUGGCACCCCAAGAGCAUGCAGGCGCCCUGCUGAGCACCCUGCAGGCAUCUCAGGGCCCAAAGGCCCCCGCCAGAGCAGCAGAGGGCAGGGUCUCGAGAUGUGUUGGGCGCAGGAGCUCAACAUACCAUACCCCACCCGGGACUAAGGACCACGCCAGCUUCCGCAAUGCACUACGUCCCUCUUUAAAUUAGCCAACCCGUGCACACUUCGUGCUCACUCCAUACUCUGUGACAACUCCUGAUUGGCCACAGCUGGAUAUAGUAGCCAGAGCCUGCGACCCAUUCCCGCCCUGCUUCCUCGUGGCAGCCUGUGAUUGGUCACGGCCAAAUAUAUAAACCAGAGCCCGCGUAAAUAAAGCAGCAGUUAACUGUCGCCCACAA